GUUUAAACACAAUCAAAAAUCUAAACUGACACUAACUAAAAAUAGUAAAACACAUAAACCGCCAUUUUGAAUACUGAUUUGUCCCCAUUACCGGUUUAUCUCAAAUCCGGCAAAUCCGGCCCGAAUUCCGGCCGGAAUUUUUGUCCAAAUCCGGUAAAUCCGGUUCCGGCCGGAUUUGAAAAUUCCAAAUCCGGUGCACCCCUAAAGAUGGUACAGAUGGUGUAUGAUGGUCGAAAUGUGUCAGAUGGUUGUCAGAUGGUGUAUGAUCGUGUAUGAUGGUCAAAGUGUGUCAGGUGGUUUACAGAUGGUGUAUGAUGGUGUAGGAUGGUUAUACAGGAAAGGGUUGUCAGAUGGUGAAGAUGGUACAGAUGGUGUAUGAUGGUCGAAGUGUGUCAGAUGGUUGUCAGAUGGUGUAUGAUCGUGUAUGAUGGUCAAAGUGUGUCAGAUGGUUGACAGAUGGUGUAUCAUGGUGUAGGAUGGUUAUACAGGAAAGGGUUGUCAGAUGGUGAAGAUGGUACAGAUGGUGUAUGAUGGUCGAAAUGUGUCAGAUGGUGUAUGAUGGUGUAGGGUGGUUAUACAGGGAAGGGUUGUCAGAUGGUGAAGAUGGCACAGAUGGUGUAUGAUGGUCGAAGUGUGUCAGAUGGUUGACAGAUGGUGUAUGAUGGUGUAGUGUGGUUAUACAGGGAAGGGUUGUCAGAUGGUGAAGAUGGUACAGAUGGUGUAUGAUGGUCGAAAUGUGUCAGAUGGUUGUCAGAUGGUGUAUGAUGGUGUAG